rnacentral:rRNA from 1 species
GACGAACGCUGGUUGCGUGCUUAACACAUGCAAGUCGAACGGAAAGGCCCUGCUUUUGUGGGGUGCUCGAGUGGCGAACGGGUGAGUAACACGUGAGUAACCUGCCCUUGACUUUGGGAUAACUUCAGGAAACUGGGGCUAAUACCGGAUAGGAGCUCCUGCUGCAUGGUGGGGGUUGGAAAGUUUCGGCGGUUGGGGAUGGACUCGCGGCUUAUCAGCUUGUUGGUGGGGUAGUGGCUUACCAAGGCUUUGACGGGUAGCCGGCCUGAGAGGGUGACCGGCCACAUUGGGACUGAGAUACGGCCCAGACUCCUACGGGAGGCAGCAGUGGGGAAUAUUGCACAAUGGGCGGAAGCCUGAUGCAGCAACGCCGCGUGCGGGAUGACGGCCUUCGGGUUGUAAACCGCUUUCGCCUGUGACGAAGCGUGAGUGACGGUAAUGGGUAAAGAAGCACCGGCUAACUACGUGCCAGCAGCCGCGGUGAUACGUAGGGUGCGAGCGUUGUCCGGAUUUAUUGGGCGUAAAGGGCUCGUAGGUGGUUGAUCGCGUCGGAAGUGUAAUCUUGGGGCUUAACCCUGAGCGUGCUUUCGAUACGGGUUGACUUGAGGAAGGUAGGGGAGAAUGGAAUUCCUGGUGGAGCGGUGGAAUGCGCAGAUAUCAGGAGGAACACCAGUGGCGAAGGCGGUUCUCUGGGCCUUUCCUGACGCUGAGGAGCGAAAGCGUGGGGAGCGAACAGGCUUAGAUACCCUGGUAGUCCACGCUGUAAACGGUGGGUACUAGGUGUGGGGUCCAUUCCACGGGUUCCGUGCCGUAGCUAACGCUUUAAGUACCCCGCCUGGGGAGUACGGCCGCAAGGCUAAAACUCAAAGGAAUUGACGGGGCCCCGCACAAGCGGCGGAGCAUGCGGAUUAAUUCGAUGCAACGCGUAGAACCUUACCUGGGUUUGACAUGGAUCGGGAGUGCUCAGAGAUGGGUGUGCCUCUUUUGGGGUCGGUUCACAGGUGGUGCAUGGCUGUCGUCAGCUCGUGUCGUGAGAUGUUGGGUUAAGUCCCGCAACGGGCGCAACCCUUGUUCACUGUUGCCAGCACGUUAUGGUGGGGACUCAGUGGAGACCGCCGGGGUCAACUCGGAGGAAGGUGGGGAUGACGUCAAGUCAUCAUGCCCCUUAUGUCCAGGGCUUCACGCAUGCUACAAUGGCUGGUACAGAGAGUGGCGAGCCUGUGAGGGUGAGCGAAUCUCGGAAAGCCGGUCUCAGUUCGGAUUGGGGUCUGCAACUCGACCUCAUGAAGUCGGAGUCGCUAGUAAUCGCAGAUCAGCAACGCUGCGGUGAAUACGUUCCCGGG